GCAGAGAAACAAAUGAAAGCAUGGAGCAGGGAGGAGAGGCUGCUGGACCAGACAGGACCUAGAGAAAUUUGGUACCACAUCUUUUAUCUUCACAGGAGAGGAUGCAGCUACAUGCUGUGGUGAAGAACAGCUGUGUGACUGCUGGUCCUCAGGACACAGAGGUAUGAGGAGCUCAGCUAAGGGAGGAGAAGCUCAGGAACCCUUCUGGGACUGCAUGCUGCACUGCAAAAGCUCUGUCAGUCCAGCUUUUGCAUUUUGAGGAUCUCUGUUCUUGUCUUUGCAAGAAGGGAAAGGCCACAGACCUUUUCCCUGGCUCUGCCACUGUGGUGAUCACCAUGAGAGGCCAGCAUGCCCUGGUCCUACCUUUUCCGAGUGAUACUGGAGUCCAUCCCCAAAUCCUCCUGCAGUUCCUCCUCUGUCAGCCUCAGGAGAAUGUCCCCAUCCACCUGGUGGUCCUGCCAAGAGAAAUCCAGGCUGGAAAGGUCCCAGGAGAAGCUGUUGGCCUCUGUGCAGAGGUAGAAGGCAGCGAUGCACUGUGCUUCCAGCCGUGAGCUGUCCAGCAAGAGUACCAG